rnacentral:rRNA from 1 species
UACGAAGGGGGCGAGCGUUGUUCGGAUUUACUGGGCGUAAAGGGCGCGUAGGCGGCAUGACAAGUCACUUGUGAAAUCUCCGGGCUUAACUCGGAACGGCCAAGUGAAACUGUCAAGCUAGAGUGCGGAAGGGGCAAUCGGAAUUCUUGGUGUAGCGGUGAAAUGCGUAGAUAUCAAGAGGAACACCUGGGGUGAAGACGGGUUGCUGGGCCGACACUGACGCUGAUGCGCGAAAGUGUGGGGAGCGAACAGG